rnacentral:rRNA from 1 species
GACGAACGCUGGCGGCGUGCUUAACACAUGCAAGUCGAACGGUAAGGCCCUUCGGGGUACACGAGUGGCGAACGGGUGAGUAACACGUGGGUGAUCUGCCCUGCACUUCGGGAUAAGCCUGGGAAACUGGGUCUAAUACCGGAUAGGACUCCGGACUGCAUGGUCUGGGGUGGACAGCUGUUGCGGUGUGGGAUGGGCCCGCGGCCUGUCAGCUUGUUGGUGGGGUGAUGGCCUACCAAGGCGACGACGGGUAGCCGGCCUGAGAGGGUGACCGGCCACAAUGGGACUGAGAUACGGCCCAGACUCCUACGGGAGGCAGCAGUGGGGAAUAUGGAACAAUGGGCGCAAGCCUGAUGCAGCGACGCCGCGUGAGGGAUGACGGCCUUCGGGUUGUAAACCUCUUUCAGCAUCGACGAAGCGAAAGUGACGGUAGGUGCAGAAGAAGGACCGGCCAACUACGUGCCAGCCGCCGCAGUAA